rnacentral:rRNA from 1 species
CAGUCGCCGCGGGAAUACGUAGGUCCCGAGCGUUGUCCGGAUUUAUUGGGCGUAAAGGGAGCGCAGGCGGUUUAGUAAGUCUGAAGUUAAAGGCAUUGGCUCAACCAAUGUAUGCUUUGGAAACUGUUAGACUUGAGUGCAGAAGGGGAGAGUGGAAUUCCAUGUGUAGCGGUGAAAUGCGUAGAUAUAUGGAGGAACACCGGUGGCGAAAGCGGCUCUCUGGUCUGUCACUGACGCUGAGGCUCGAAAGCGUGGGUAGCGAACAGGAUUAGAUACCCCAGUAGUCCCUGUCUCUUAUACA